UAAAGUUGCUAGGCUGAAAAAAAAUCUUUAUGCUUAAAUGUUUUUUCCAAAUUAAAAGGUGGAAAGUCUUCCACCUGAUUACUCUUCUAGGAGACAGUGCUACUAGUUCUCUUAUGUCCUUGGAGAUACUCUGGGCAUGCUCAGAUGAACUGGAGUGUUGUUUUGUUUUUAGAUGUAAUGAUGUAGCUUGGAGAUAAUGUCAUGCUACUGCUUAGUAGGAAAAAGAAGCUCUCUGAUCCCAUCUCCUGACAGCAGAUGGGAUCAAUCAGUUAUAUGUUAAAAGUCCCAUGUAUUAAAAUUGGCACAUGAAUUUCCUGGUAGUUCCUGGGUAUUUCCAGUCUCUCCCUCACCCUGGUUCCAUUUCCAUGGGCCCAGACAUGCUUACAUCUUCUCUAGCAAUCCACUCCCUGCCUUACUUCUGUCAGCCCAGCAUUGUAGAGUGGAAACAGGUAUGGGUUUUGGAGUCAGGUUCAGUUUCUAGUUUUCUGCCAUCUGUAGCAUCUUGGGCAGGACACUCAACAGUCUGGGCCUCAGUUUUUAUAUUUUUAAAUUGUGAAAAUGUUAAAAAAUCUACUUCUUAGGUUUAGAUGCAGUUUUAAUAAGGUCAACAAAAUACCAGACACAAUAGGGACUCUGUAACUGUAGGUGCUAUCAUUUCUCCUCACAUCACCAUACCCGAGAUUCAUUUACUAUUGUAACUGUGGUGACUUCGAUUUUGUCACUUGGUUCAUUUCACAACCUUUUCUGUUCUCAUGAAACCAGUAAAAUUUUGCUAAUGUUACUAACCUAAUGUUUGCUAAGGCUACAAAAAAGUUUGAUUGUUUUGAUAGAAUCUGACCAUCCCCUCCAUCUCUGUCAAGAUUAUCAUCAGCUCCAAGAAAUGGGUAAGGCCAAAGAAACAUUGGCUAAACAAAAGAUAUUUAUGUCUCUGUAUUGGCUGCUUGGGACAACUGCAGCAACAUACCGUGAGUAGGGUGGCUUAAAAACAACAGACAUUUGGCAGUUCUGGAGAAGUUUGAAAUCAGGCCAUGCUCACUCUGAAACCUGUCAAAUAAUUGUGGUGAUUUGCAAUGAUCUUUGGCGGUCUUUGGCUUGCAGCUGCGUAACUCCUAUCUCUCCCUUUGUGGUCAUGUGGGCUCCCGGUGUGUCUUCACGUGACCAUCUUAUAUUGAUCAUAUUGGAUUAAGGGCCAAUCCUACUUUAGUAGGACAUCUUAACUAUAUCUGUAGUGAUGCUAUUGAUAAGGUCACAUUCUGAGGGACUAGGGAUUAGGAUUUCAUGCCUAACUUGAGACACAAGUCAACCAUAAUUCUCUCAAAUUCAAAAACCUGGAGGUAGUGGGAUUAGGGUUUGUAUGCAGUCCAUAUGAUGUCUGGCACCCAGACGACUUCAAUCUUGUUGCUUUGCCAUGAGUGACUUCUAUUACUAAGAACAUUUUAUGGUUCAAGAUAGGAGACUGACCAAAAAUAAAAGGCAAAUUACCAAACUCAGGAAAGAAGACACAUCACUACUGAUUCUACAGAAAUUGGAAAGGAUUAUAAAGAAAUACUAUGAAUAAUUUUAUGCCAACUUAGGUGAAAUGGAGAAGUUUCUAGAAAGCCGUGAAUUACCAAGUGAUUUAAGAAGAAAUAGAACAUCUGAAUAGGUCUAUAAGUUGAAUUAAUAAAAUCUUCUCAAGAAGAAAUAUCCAGGCCCGAUGGUUCCACAGUUAGUUCUGCCAAAUAUUUAAAGAAGAGGCUUCCCCAGUUCUCAAACUCUGAAGCUAGAGAAGGAAGGAUCAUUUCCCAAAUGAUUCUAAGACCAGUAUUACCCUUAAACCAAAAUUAGAGAAAGAUCACAAAAACAGUAUUACAGACCAGUUUUCUCCCAUGAACAUUGACAUAAAAGUCCUCAACAAAAUAGUAUCAAAGCAAAACUGGUAACAUUCUACAUCAUGACCAAGUAGAACUUAUCCUAGGAAUGCAAGGUCAGUUUACCAUCCAAAUGUUAAUUACUAUAUAACAUGAAUAGACUAAAAGGCAAAAACCACACAAUUAUUCUAAUAGGUACAAAAAAGUAUAUGUAUUUUAACCAACAUUUUAAUAAACUAGAAAUAGAAGGGAACUUGGUCAUCUUGAGAAAGGGAUUGGACUGAAAAGGACGCCGAAGACUGGGAACAAGGCAAAGAUGUCUGCUCUUGCCAUUUCUACUCAAUAUUAUGCUGAAGAUUCUGACCAGUGCAGUUAGUAGAAGGAAGAGAAAGGAGAAUCUGUAUUCACAGAUGUUAUGAACCUGUACAUAGCCAAAUUCCAGGGAAUACAUAUGCACAGAAAUAACUGGAACUGAUCAAUGUUCAAAGGGUACAAGACACAUAUACAAAAAUCAAUUGGAUUCCUAUAGCAAGAACAUAUGAAAUGAAAUUAAUUACAUUCAUAAUAGCAUUAAAAUGAAUGCAAUACUUUGGAAUAAAUUUAACAAAAGUAGUGCAAGAUAUUUACAAUGUACAACAAAAGGUAUUGCUGAGAGAAAGAUGAUUUAAGUUAAAAGUUCUCAGCCAGGGGUGAUUGUUCGCACUGAGAAAUUUUCGGCAAUGUGCGGAGAUAUUUUUAGUUGCCGCAACUUGGGAGAAGGGAUGCUUUUGGGAUCUAGUGGGUAGAGGCCAGAGAUGCAGCCAAUCAUUGUACAAAACAUAGGACAGCCUGAACAAUAAAAAAUUAUGUGGCCAUGAAUGUGAAUAACACCAAGGUUGAAAAUCCUGAUCUAAAUAAAUGCAGAGGCAUUUCACAUUUAUGGAUUGGAAGACUCCAUAUUGUCAAGAUGCCAAUUCUCAAAAUGAUGUGUAAGUUCAAUAAAAUCCUUAUUCCAGCA